rnacentral:rRNA from 1 species
UACGAAGGGGGCUAGCGUUGUUCGGAAUCACUGGGCGUAAAGCGCACGUAGGCGGAUUGUUAAGUCGGGGGUGAAAUCCUGAGGCUCAACCUCAGAACUGCCUUCGAUACUGGCAAUCUCGAGUCCGGAAGAGGUUGGUGGAACAGCUAGUGUAGAGGUGAAAUCGUAGAUAUUAGCUAGAACACCAGUGGCGAAGGCGGCCAACUGGUCCGGUACUGACGCUGACGGUGCGAAAGGCUGUCGG